GACAGAGGGUGCAAACGUUGUUCGGAAUUACUGGGCGUAAAGCGCGUGUAGGCGGCCCUGCAAGUCGGAUGUGAAAUCCCACGGCUCAACCGUGGAAGUGCAUUCGAAACUGCAGGGCUAGAGUCCUGGAGAGGAAGGUGGAAUGCUUGGUGUAGAGGUGAAAUUCGUAGAUAUCAAGCGGAACACCGGUGGCGAAGGCGGCCUUCUGGACAGUUCCUGACGCUGAGGCACGAAGGCCAGGGGAGCAAACGGG
rnacentral:rRNA from 1 species